ensembl:lncRNA
CUUCAAUAAAACUAGAACCAUGGUUUUACUUAUUUCCUUAUACAAAAUCAUGUCUCCAGAUAUGUGUACAUCAACAUUUAUGGUAAAUUUGUUGUAGUUUUGUAAGGUACUCCGUUCUUAACCAAGUGGAGGAAAAAACAUCCUCACAAGUCGCGCUUUCAAGACCACUCGGAUUCGGGGGGGGGGGAAAGAGGUCAAAUCGUGACGUAAGGGAUAUUGAGGUCGGAGAAUUCGGAGCUCGAGGAUGAUCCAAGUUUCCGAUUUGGAAUUUCGAGUUGGAUGACCGUUCAAAACAAAUUUUCCAAUUCGAAACACAUUUUUCCGAAUUGCAAGUUGUAUUGAACACACUGAGGUCAGAUGUCGGAGAUUCCCGAGUUCCCAGUUGAAUGGAACGCUGCAUGAACUCCGACUUCUCUCCCAUUAUGGCCUCUUCGUUUUUUUAAAUGUAACUAGGCAAGUCAGUUAAGAACAAAUUCUUAUUUAUUUAUAAACCGGGACAACGCUGAGCCAAUUGUGCGCCGCACUAUGGGACUCCCAAUCACAGCCAGUUGUGAUACAGCCUGGAUUCGAACCAGAGUGUUUGUAGUGACGCCUCUAGCACUGUAUCAGGAAAUGAAAGCAGUAUCAGGAAAUGAUCUCCAUAACAGAUUUUUCGGCAGUUAAGUGUAACAACUAAACAUUAUUUAUAAAAGCAAUCUAUUCAUAUAUAUUUUUUCACACUGUAUUUUCUUGACAAGCAUGAUUGAUAGCUGUUCUUGUAGUUUAUGGUUGACCAGCUGGUUGGCCAUUAGCCAAUCGGCGUUUCAACGAGUUCAAAGCAUGUGUGAAUGUAUCCAAAUUGCAACGAGUAAUUACCACCUUCCCAUGUGGUUAUGCUGCGUUCAUGUGCUCGUCGAAGUAUUUGAUUUCGAUAAUAUUGCUUUGUUUCAUUCAUUUGCUUUUUGGUCUGACUCUGCAAACUUGUUAGAUGCAUUUGCUGUUUGUUUUGCUUGUUUUUCAGUUUAUGUUGUGCCCAAUAGAAAUUAAUGAUAAAUAAUGUAUUUUAGGAAGGUAGAAAGAAAGUCAUUUGAACCGGUGAUUCGUAACAUUUGGUACGUUUGGGGUCCUGGGGACCAAUGCACUCAAAUCUUAAACAUUUGAACCGGGGGCCAAUACCUAUCAUGAAUCGUUACAUCCCUAAUGUUUCCUACUCUCCUUGUCUGUUCCAAUCUCACUGUGUAUUUGCUUCCUUUCAGGAUUAGAAGACACUGGGUAUCUCUCCUCUGAUGGCUGCCAUGAAUGGUCACGUCCCUGCGGUCAAGCUGCUGCUGGACAUGGGCUCAGACAUCAACACUCAGAUCGAGACCAAACGUAACACAGCACAGACCCUGGCCUGCCAACGUGGAGCACUGCGUCAAGGCUGUGUCAGAUGGCUAUACUGAGAUGGGGCAUGUGCUACUGGCCAAGAGCGCUUACGCCACCUGUCCAAACCUCCCAAGACACCGUGUGCACCAUUGCUGCAGACAAGGGCCACUACAAGUUCUGUGAGCUCCUCAUCAACACGUGUCACGACUUCCGCCGAAGUCGGUCCCUCUCCUUGUUCGGGUGGCGUUCGACGGUCGACGUCACCGGUCUUCUAGCCAUCACUGAUCCACUUUUCAUUUUCCGUUUGUUUUGUCUUGGUUUUCUACACACCUGGUUUUCAUUUCCUAAUGACAUGUUCAUGUAUUUAACCCUAUGUUUCCCCCAUGUUUUUGUGCGUGAUUGUUUCUACGUUCACUCUGUAAUUUAU